rnacentral:lncRNA from 1 species
UUUGCUGUGCAAAAGCUUUUCAGUUUGAUUAGGUCCCAUGGGUUUAUUUUUGCUCUUAUUUCUAUUGCUUUGGGAGACUGACCUGAGAAAAUAUUCAUGAUGUUGAUGUCAGAGAGUGUUUUGCCUAUGUUCUCUUCUAGGAGUUUGAUGGUGUCCUGUCGUAUAUUUAAGUCUUUCAGCCAUACUCAUAUUGCAACAGAACAAAGGGUGGGGGAAAAGAAACAUGUAUACAUGUAAGGAUAACUUGAUCCCCUUGCUGUACAGUGGGAAAAAAAUAAAUUAAUAAAAAGCUUAAAAAAAUAAAAAAAAGAAAUAGAGUGAUAAUUAAAUUUAUCAUACAAAUCAGGGCACUUUUGGAAGUGAAAGAGAGUAUGAUAAAUAAUUACACAGGGAAAACAUGAAUAAACUGAUAUUGUCCUGAACAAAUUGCUUCUUGCUCUCACCAUAUUAGAAAGCAUUACAGGUAGGCAGGCAGGCAGGCAGACAUUAUAAAUCGGGUCUAUUUCCACUGGCUGGUUUUCCUUAUUGCUCUUUGUAUUUACCCUGAGCAUCUCUUUUUCAAUGUGGAAUGACAUUCACUCCUCUCCUUCACUGGCCUGAUACUAUUGGUACUGCAUUUGUAUGCUCAAAUGAUUGUUUCACCACAAAGCAUUUCUUGAUUUAUCUGGCAGACAAUGAAUCUCUUUUUAAAUUGUACUUACACUGUCCAUUCUAGGACCUUUGUUUUCUACCCUGUAUUAUAGUUAUUUAUGCAUGUGCCUUAUCUUUUCUAAUAGGUGUAAGCUCUUAGCGAGAGUGAGUCAUAUUAACUCAUUUUGGGGUAACUCGCAUUGCCUAGCUAGUAUUUCGCUCCUAGUUGGUGGCCAAUAAAUAUUCAUUAAAUGAAUGUUUGUUGAGUUCUGAAAACAUCACUCUUGCUAUUGUUGUCCCAAGCUCACGAAAUUAUCCUUGAUACUAAUGCUUAUGAAAUGCAGAAAAGAUAAGAGAUUGAUCAUGUCUAGAAUAGUCGUGAGAUAAAAAGAAAUAGGAGAAUUAGAAGUUACCAUAUUUACAAGGUCUUCAGAAUGUUUAACCGAAAAAAAAAAAAUCACACUGAAGACAUUUUCUUUCUAAAGAGAUAGACAAGAAAAAGAUAGAAAGAAAAAGGAUACAUUUAUUUCUCAACAGGAAUUUGUUUGGACAUACACAAUUUAUUCUGACAGAUAUCUAAUUUGAACAUCUCUUGGUUUCUAGAUUUUAUAAAAUCAUUUACAAGUUCAAUUUAAUCUAUAUGGAAAUCAUAGUGCAUAUCAGUGUUUCUAUUUUUUAAAGUGUUUCUUCAUGCAAGGUUCUGAUAUUUUAGAGAAUAUUUUAAUUGCUAUUUUAAAAAAGCAGUUAAAUAGCAAAUUUUGAUUUGUAUUAUUUGUGAAGCUUUUCAUAAUUCUUCCACAUUGGUCACUGGAUAUUGUCAUGCUCCUUAGCUUAAAUAAAAAUGGAUUGCCACUUUAUUUUCAAUUAUACUCUGCACAGGACUCUUCCCCCUUAAAAAUGCAGAUUAAUUUAUCCACUACAUUAAGUGUGGGAUUCAUAGUAGAUUUUAAGAUUUUUUAGUAUUUUUGAAAUAACUCUACAUAUACAGGAAUCCAAGCACCAGAAAUUGACGCAAAGGGCAUCCUCCAAAUUAUACAUGUGACACAAAUAUUGAUCUUUCAAUACAACCAUAGUCCAUCAUUUUUAAACCCAGACUUAUGACCUCAGACUAGUUGCUUAACCUCUGUACAACACAAUUUUCUCAUCUGAUGAGCAACAAAUAUCCUCACCUUAACCAGGUACCAACUUAUAUUUAAUAGUUGAACCACAAGUGAGUGUUUUAGUUACUAUCUGGGAAUAGAAGAAUGUGUCAGGUCCUCAGAUCUUUAUUACAAAUGAAUGCUGAAAUACUUAGCAAACUAUACACACACACACACACACACACACACACACACACACACACACAUACACACAUAUAUAUAUACAUGCAUGCACACACACACACACACACUCUUAAUGCCGAGUUUGAUGCUGCUAUUUACCAGAGAUUCAGGGAUGGGCCAAUUUAUGAAAGCUGAAUGGAAUUAACAUAUUUUUUGAGACAGAAUUUAAGCUUACCCUUAAAGCAGUGUUUCUUAUACUCACUGCCAUUAAAAUCACCCUUGAGGACUUUUCAAAAAUCCCCAAGCCCAGCUUCAUCAGAGAACACCAGAAUUUCUAGAAAUGGGCUUCAGACGUUAGUAUUUUUCCAAGCUCCCAUUGUGCAAUCAUUGUAUAAUCAAGGUUGAGAACUACUGCCUUAAGGAAUGAGUAGGCUCUCCCUAAAUGAGGAGGGGAAGAGGCAGAUAUAUUAUUUCAGCAAAAGGAAUCCCCUUAAGGAAAGGUUCUUGGAGGGGUAAUGAAUACUUCUAGUGGGCAGGAAAAACAGCAGCACAACUGUGGGUCAAAACGAAAGGUGGGGAGCGUUAAGACGUUUGGAAAGGUUCUAGUUGGGCAACAUAUUAAAGAGAAGUUUAGAUCCACUUAAGGGAAAGGCAAAUUUUCACAUGAUCAUUUAGUAUUAAAACUCUAUUAUUAAUACUACUAUGCAUACUCAAAAUAAUUCAAAUAAGAAUACUGGAGCUGACAGCAGGACUGUUUGGGGCUCCCAGAAAUAAGCCAUUCCAUGUCCUCUGCUGUGUUUGCCCUUCCUUGAGCCCCAAAGAGCAGACUCAGGCGUCAAUAAUUAGGAUACCAGAGUUCCAGGCCUCCUAGUUCCUCCUGAAGGGAUACAUAUAACAACCUGACACACCUUUCAGAUAUUCUGCAGAAACUGAGACCCUUCAACUCCCAGCGAAGGAUAGGGACCACAUGCUGACCACAAGCAUAGACUGGUUAGAACCAAAAGGUUGAUAAUUAAGAUUGCCAAAACAUCACCCUGUUACCUCACCACCAAACAACUGGAAGGAAGUCAUGCACUUGCAACUCUCACCCCAAAUAUUGCCUUUAAAACUCUUCCCUAAAAACCAUUGGGAGUUUGUGUCUUUUGAGCAUGAAGUACCCAUUCUCCUUGCUUGGCGCUUUGCAAUAAACAGUGUAUUUUCCUUAAACACAAAAAAUAAAUAAAUAAGUAAAAAAAAAAAUUGAAAAGAAUACUGAAGGAAUAAUCAAAGCACAAAGGACAGAAUCUUUGACUUACAUUUUUCUUUUGUGGAGGUAGUGGUUCUUCACACUCUUAUGGUUUGGUUAAGAUCUUUACUUCAAAUACUUUAAUAUCUUUCAUUCUAGAGAAGUGUGUUUUAACCUUAGCUACUUUAUUUUUCUUCUUUUUUUGGGGGUGCGGGGCUGCAUCCACAGCACAUGGAAGUUCGCAGGCCAGGGGUUGAAUCCAAGCGGCAGCUCAGCCACAGCAAAACCAGAUCUGAGCCACUUCUACGACCUAUGCUGCAACUUGCAGCAACACUGGAUCUUCAAUCCACUGAGUGAUGCCAGGGAUAGAACGGCUUCCUCAUGAAUACUACUCAGGUUCUUAACUCUUGCUGAGACAUAACAGGAAAGACAACCUUAGUUAAUUUUAGAAACACUGGAUGCCUGAGAAAUUUUUUGAUUUUUGGAAUAGAAGGACUGGAACUCAACUUCUCUCCUAAAAACAACAAAAUUCACAACUAAAGGCUGAGCAUUCUUCACCCAAAUGGACUGGAAACCUUGAAAAAGAUACCCUACUCCAGAAGAAAAAGAGGAGGCCACAUCAAGAGGUAGGAGGGGUGAUUUUGUGAUAUAAACAACAUCAUACCUCCCAGGUGGGAAGCUCCACACACUGGAAACUAACUGGUUCACAGAGAAUCACCUACAGGAGUGAGAGUUCUGAGCCCCACAUCGAAUCACAAAGUGUGGGGAUCUGGCACUGGAAGAAAGAGCCCCUGGAGCAUCUGGCAUUGAAGGCCAGUAGGGCUUGUGCGCAGGAGCUCCACGGGACUGGGGGAAAUGGAAACCCCAUUCUUAAAAGGUGCACAAGGACUUUCACGUACACUGGGUCCCAGGGCAAAGCAAAGUUUCCAUAGGAAUCUGGGUCAAACCUGACUGCAGUUCUUGGAGAUCAUCCUGGGAAAACAGGGGUGAAUGUGGCUUGCUGUGAGGGAAAGACAUUGAAAGCAAAGCUCUGGGGAAUAUUCAGCAGUGUGCCUUUCUCUGGAGGUGGGCUUUUUGGGAAAAUCUGGCCCUACCCAUCAGCACUGAGAAGCCCUAGGGCAAACAACAAUCCAGGUGGGAUCACAGCCCCACCCCUUAGUAAACAGUCUACCUAAAGACCCUUCAGGCACACAGCUGCCUCUAAUCCCAUUUACAGACUAAGCCCCACCCACCAGAGGGAUUAGAACCGGCUCCACCUACCAGUGGGCAGGCAUCAGCCCCUCUCAUCAGGAAGCCUUCAGCAAGCCCCCAUACUGACUUCAGCCACAAGGGGGUCAGACACCAGAAGUGAGAGAGGCACAACUCUAUUAACUGUAAAAAGGUCACCACACCAAAAACCUAUAAAAAUGAAAAGACAGAGAACUAUAACUCAAAGGAGGGAGAAAGGAAAAACCCCAGAAAGUCAGCUAAGUGAUGAGGAGAUUCUUAGCCUUCAGGGAAAAGACUUUAGAUUGUUGAUGCUGAAGAUGAUGGAAAUAAACUGCAGGUAAAGAUGGAUAACUUACAGAAAACAAUGAGCAAAGAGAUACAAGAUAUAAAACUUAAACAAGAAGAGAUGCAAAAUACAGUAACUGAAAUAAAAAAUUCACUAGAGGCAGCUAACAGCAGAAUACAGGAGGCAGAAAAACGAAUAAGUGAGGUGUAGGACAGAUUAGUGGAAAUUAUGGAUGCAGAACAGAAAAGAGAAAAAAAAUUGAAAACAAAUGAAGAGAGUCUCUGGGAACUCUGGGACAAUGUUAAAUGCACCAACAUCUGUAUUACAGGGGUGCCAGAAGGAGAAGAGAGAGAGAAGGGGACAGAAAAUAUAUUCCAAGAGAUAAUAGCCGAAAACUUCCCUAACAUGGGAAAGGAACCACUCACUCAAAUCCAGGAAGCACAACGGAGUACCAUAUAAAAUAAACCCAAGGAGGAACACACCGAGACACAUAUUAAUCAAACUGACCAAAAUUAAAGACAAAGAGAAAAUCUUGAAAGCAGCUAGGGAAAAGAAACAAGUAACAUACAAGGGAACCCCAAUAAGGUUAUCGGCAGAUUUUUCAGCAGAAACUCUGCAGGCCAGAAGGGAGUGGCAUGAUAUACUUAACGUGAUGAAAGGAAAAAACCUCCAACCAAGAUUACUCUACCCAGCAAGGCUCUCAUUCAGAUUUGAAGGAGAAAUCAAAACCUUCACAGAUAAGCAAAAGCUGAGAGAAUUCAGCAACACUAAACCAGCCUUACAACAAAUACUAAAGGAACUUCUCUAGGCAGAAAAGAAAAGACAGCAACAGGAAACAAAAAUUCCACAAAUGACAAGGCUCACCAGUAAAGGUAUAUAUACAGUAAAGAUACGAAAUCAUCCAUGCACAAUUAUACCACCAAAAUCAGAAAUCAUGAGAAGAGGUGGGUACAAAUGCAGGACACUGGAGAUGAACUUGCAAUUAAGAGAACAACAACUUAAAACAAUCUCAUAUACAUAUAGACUCUUAUAUCAAAACUUCAGAAUAACUGCAAACCAAAAAUCUACAAUUGAUACACAAACAAGGAAUCUCUGGAGAAGAAAUAUAUCUCAUAGUAAAUAAGUGCAUAAUCCACCAUGAAGGGGGUCAUUUGACAUCAUUCUUGGAAUGCUGAAGUCUUCUUAGAUCUGAUUCUGAUUUCCUCUCCAUCAAAGAAUUUAUGAUAAUUAUAAUUAAAUAAUGCCACUGUACAAUUAAAUAAUACAGUUCUACAAUUGUAUUAUUAAUAACCAUUUCUCUCCAUGGUACAAUGUAAGGUCUAUAAUGUCUUGUUUAUCACAUCACCUAGAAUGGUGUAAUGCCUAUAUUGAAGAAUCAAUAAGAUGUAACAAAUUGUGAGGACAUAUUUAUAUAGUUACACUGUUUUUUAACCAAUUUAUGCAUUUUAUAUUUUACUUAUUUUCAGAGGGUGUAUUAUUUUUGUUAUUCUUACCAGUUAAGUUAUUCUUUUUAUUAUGCUAUAUAAAAUAUUUAAUGGUAUAUAAGGCUUUCUUCUUUAUAAAUUUUAGUUGCAUAAUAUACACAAUUUUAAUAUAAUGCUAAUUUUUAAAGAAAAAUUGAAAUGUAAUAGAUAAUACUAAAUAGUAAAGAUGAAAGCCAUACAAAAUGGGAUAAAGUAUAGAAUAAAUUUCCUAUUUGACUCAGGAUAUUUUCCAUUCCACUUCUCCAGAGGGAGUCACUUAAUCUGUUUCUUAAGAUCCAUGAUAUAAUAAUCUGUGUGAAUGUAAUUGUGUUUAAAUAUACGUAUUUUAUUCUGUAAAUAAAUAAAUAAACUAUUAUUAAAAAAAAACCACUGGAUGCCUGAGUCCCAUAUCCAGAUAUUCUGAUUUAAUUGGUUUGAUGUGUGACCUGGGCAUGGCAUAGGGAAAAAAAACUCUCUUCAUGUGAUCGAAAUACGCAAUCAUGGCUGAGAAUCAAAGACUCAGUCAGUGCUUUCUACUUUGACAUGAAUAAGAGUCACUUGGAGAUCUUUUAAAAACAGUUUCCUUGGCCUCACUCCCAAACAUUCUGAGUUAGUAGGCUUAGGGUGGGGUCCAAGGAUUUACAAUUUUUUUUUGUCUUUUCUAGGGCCACUCCUGUCACAUAUGGAGCGGCCCGAAGAAAUAGCAAAAAGACAAAAAAAAAAAAAAAAUUCUAGCUCUCAUAUUAUCUUGCUCUGUGGCUUUAGGCAAGGAGAUUUAGCUCU